rnacentral:rRNA from 1 species
AUUGAACGCUGGCGGCAUGCCUUACACAUGCAAGUCGAACGGCAGCGCGGGGCAACCUGGCGGCGAGUGGCGAACGGGUGAGUAAUAUAUCGGAACGUACCCUGGAGUGGGGGAUAACGUAGCGAAAGUUACGCUAAUACCGCAUACGAUCUAAGGAUGAAAGUGGGGGACCGCAAGGCCUCAUGCUCCUGGAGCGGCCGAUAUCUGAUUAGCUAGUUGGUGGGGUAAAGGCCUACCAAGGCAUCGAUCAGUAGCUGGUCUGAGAGGACGACCAGCCACACUGGGACUGAGACACGGCCCAGACUCCUACGGGAGGCAGCAGUGGGGAAUUUUGGACAAUGGGCGCAAGCCUGAUCCAGCAAUGCCGCGUGAGUGAAGAAGG